rnacentral:rRNA from 1 species
ACACGACUACAUUAGAUACCCGUGUAGUCCAGGGUGUAAACGAUGCGCGUUAGGUGUAUCGGUGACCACGAGUCACCGAGGUGCCGAAGGGAAACCGUGAAACGUGCCGCCUGGGAAGUACGGCCGCAAGGCUGAAACUUAAAGGAAUUGGCGGGGGAGCACCACAACGGGUGGAGCUUGCGGUUUAAUUGGAUUCAACGCCGGAAAUCUUACCGGGACCGACAGCAACAUGAAGGCCAAGCUGAAGACUUUGCCGGAUUAGCUG